rnacentral:rRNA from 1 species
UAGUCCACGCCGUAAACGGUGGGCACUAGUUGUGGGAACCUUCCACGGUUCCUGCGACGCAGCUAACGCAUUAAGUGCCCCGCCUGGGGAGUACAAUCGCAAGAUUAAAACUCAAAGGAAUUGACGGGGCCCCGCACAAGCAGCGGAGCAUGCGGCUUAAUUCGACGCAACGCGAAGAACCUUACCAAGGCUUGACAUAUACAGGAAUAUGGCAGAAAUUCCAUAGCCGCAAGGUCUGUAUACAGGUGGUGCAUGGUUGUCGUCAGCUCGUGUCGUGAGAUGUUGGGUUAAGUCCCGCAACGAGCGCAACCCUCGUUCUGUGUUGCCAGCAUUUAGUUGGGGACUCACAGGAGACUGCCGGGGUUAACUCGGAGGAAGGUGGGGAUGACGUCAAAUCAUCAUGCCCCUUAUGUCUUGGGCUGCACGCAUGCUACAAUGGCUGGUACAAACGGCUGCGAUACCGCAAGGUGGAGCGAAUCCGAUAAAGCCAGUCUCAGUUCGGAUUGGGGUCUGCAACUCGACCCCAUGAAGUCGGAGUUGCUAGUAAUCGUAGAUCAGCAACGCUACGGUGAAUACGUUCCCGGGGCUUGUACACACCGCCCGUCACGUCACGAAAGUCGGUAACACCCGAAGUCAGUGGCCCAACCGUAAGGGGGAGCUG